UCAUAAAUGAGUCUCAUCCCACAGAAUGC
rnacentral:piRNA from 1 species